GAAGAAAGACUGCUAAAGACAACUGAACGACAGGCCAAGGGGGAGUCCAGAUUGAGACAGGGGUCCAGUCUGAAAAGAAAUAUAACUGGAACUCUGAGCUACAGAAACUCUGCAUCCUUCCUAAAUUCAACAUUUAGGGCUCCAUCCCCUGCUUCCACCUGGCAUUACCAGCAGCUUCCUUGAACUCUGCUGCCACUGACUGGGUCCAAGAGAUCCAGCUCAUUCAGGAAGAACUCAAGAACCACCUUGAACAGAAGAAGAAGGAGGCCUACAAAAGGCAUAUGGACCAUUGGCGACAAGCUCCACUAUUUAUGGAAGUGUUGUUGUAACCAUGUCAGUGGCUGGCAAAGCAAAUUCAGAAGAUGUUCUCACAAGACACAGAUC